GAUGAACGCUAGCGAUAGGCCUAACACAUGCAAGUCGAGGGGCAUCACAUGAAGUAGCAAUACGGAUGGUGGCGACCGGCGCACGGGUGAGUAACACGUAUGCAACCUGCCUUCAACAAGGGGAUAACCCGUUGAAAGACGGACUAAUACCCUAUAACACAGGGGUCCCGCAUGGGAAUAUUUGUUAAAGGACAACCGGUUGAAGAUGGGCAUGCGUUCCAUUAGCUAGUUGGCGGGGUAACGGCCCACCAAGGCAACGAUGGAUAGGGGAACUGAGAGGUUUAUCCCCCACACUGGUACUGAGACACGGACCAGACUCCUACGGGAGGCAGCAGUGAGGAAUAUUGGUCAAUGGGCGAGAGCCUGAACCAGCCAAGUCGCGUGCAGGAAGAAUGUCCUAUGGAUUGUAAACUGCUUUUGCAGGGGAAUAAAGUGAGCCACGUGUGGUUUUUUGUAUGUACUCUGCGAAUAAGGAUCGGCUAACUCCGUGCCAGCAGCCG
rnacentral:rRNA from 1 species